rnacentral:rRNA from 1 species
GACGAACGCUGGCGGCGUGCUUAACACAUGCAAGUCGAACGGAAAGGCCCUGCUUUUGUGGGGUGCUCGAAUGGCGAACGGGUGAGUAACACGUGAGUAACCUGCCCUUGACUUUGGGAUAACUUCAGGAAACUGGGGCUAAUACCGGAUAGGAGCUCCUGCUGCAUGGUGGGGGUUGGAAAGUUUCGGCGGUUGGGGAUGGACUCGCGGCUUAUCAGCUUGUUGGUGGGGUAGUGGCUUACUAAGGCUUUGACGGGUAGCCGGCCUGAGAGGGUGACCGGCCACAUUGGGACUGAGAUACGGCCCAGACUCCUACGGGAGGCAGCAGUGGGGAAUAUUGCACAAUGGGCGGAAGCCUGAUGCAGCAACGCCGCGUGCGGGAUGACGGCCUUCGGGUUGUAAACCGCUUUCGCCUGUGACGAAGCGUGAGUGACGGUAAUGGGUAGAGAAGCACCGGCUAACUACGUG